rnacentral:lncRNA from 1 species
CGGAAAUGCAACUAGGUUAUGAAGCUUUAUAACAUUUUUUUUUACUUUUUUUUUUUAUUUUAAAUUUUCCACACCUGUACAGAAUAUAUAUAUAGUUUUUAUUAUAAUAAAUGUCAACGGUUAUAAACAAGAACAGAUGGAGAAAGUGCCGUCGAUGAUGACGACGACGACGACGCUUUUCCUUAGCUGUCUUCUGUUUAGAGUAAACUGUCAGUGAUAAAAUUAGGCUGUCGGUUUGUCCUGUCCUCCUGUCCAGUUGGGUUUGGACCACAGAAGUAAAUAUAGCAAUGACAUCCUGUUUAUUUUUGGAAAGUAUAUAGUGUCUUUCUUAGUAAGUGCAUUCGCGGUAUUCGUUUUAUACCGUAAAAUGCGUCGUUUAUCUUCUUUUAGAUGCAGUUAAGAAGAAAUUUUCUUAUUUUUUUGAUUUUGGGAAUUUUGAGAAAGCGUUAAAAAUAUAUAUAUAUAUCACAUGUGCAGCAUAAAAACACAAGUUUGUUUUGUUUUAUGCGGUUGGUGCAAAACUGCAAAUCGCAGUUUUGUUCUCUAUCAAAAUGCGAAAGAAUCACGCAACUUUUGAGAUUUUUCGACAUUAGGCAGGAUCGUUUCAAAAGUUUUUCAUUAUGUUACGAUUGCCAAAUUUUUCUGUUGCGUUUACUUCUAUUGUUUCGUUCACUUCGCGUGUUUUAUCCCACAAAAAAAAAAUUCGAAUUUUUGCAUUCAGUUUCUUCGCCGG